UAAUACGUAGGUGGCGAGCGUUACUCGGAAUUACUAGGCGUAAAGCGUAUGUAGGCGGAUAUUUAAGUCUGUUGUUAAAUCCCACGGCUCAACCGUGGACUGUCAACGGAUACUGGGUAUCUUGAGUUCGGUAGAGGAAAUCGGAAUUCCUAGUGUAGCAGUGAAAUGCGUAGAUAUUAGGAAGAACGCCAAAGGCGAAGGCAGAUUUCUGGGCCGUUACUGACGCUGAGAUACGAAAGCUAGGGGAGCAAACAGGAUUAGAUACCCUGGUAGUCCUAGCUGUAAACGAUGUAGACUAGGUGUGGGAGGUAUCGACCCCUUCCGUGCCGACGCUAACGCAUUAAGUCUACCGCCUGGGGAGUACGGCCGCAAGGUUA
rnacentral:rRNA from 1 species